rnacentral:rRNA from 1 species
AAACCAACAGGGAUUGCCUCAGUAACGGCGAGUGAAGCGGCAAAAGCUCAAAUUUGAAAUCUAGCACUUUCAGUGUUCGAGUUGUAAUUUGAAGAAGGUAACUUUGGUUUUGGCUCUUGUCUAUGUUCCUUGGAACAGGACGUCACAGAGGGUGAGAAUCCCGUGCGAUGAGAUGCCCAAUUCCAUGUAAAGUGCUUUCGAAGAGUCGAGUUGUUUGGGAAUGCAGCUCUAAGUGGGUGGUAAAUUCCAUCUAAAGCUAAAUAUUGGCGAGAGACCGAUAGCGAACAAGUACAGUGAUGGAAAGAUGAAAAGAACUUUGAAAAGAGAGUGAAAAAGUACGUGAAAUUGUUGAAAGGGAAGGGCUUGAGAUCAGACUUGGUAUUUUGCGUUCCCUUCCUUUUUGGUUGGGUUCCUCGCAGUUUACUGGGCCAGCAUCGGUUUGGAUGGUAGGAUAAUGACAUUGGAAUGUAGCUUUACUUCGGUGAAGUGUUAUAGACUUUGUUGAUACUGCCUWUCUWGACCKAGGA